UACGUAGGGUGCGAGCGUUACUCGGAAUUACUGGGCGUAAAGCGUGCGCAGGCGGUUUUGUAAGCCAGAUGUGAAAGCCCUGGGCUUAACCUGGGAAUGGCAUUUGGGACUGCAAGGCUUGAGUGCGGCAGAGGAGACUGGAAUUCCUGGUGUAGCAGUGAAAUGCGUAGAUAUCAGGAGGAAUACCGAUGGCGAAGGCAGGUCUCUGGGCUGACACUGACGCUCAUGCACGAAAGCGUGGGGAGCAAACAGG
rnacentral:rRNA from 1 species